rnacentral:snRNA from 1 species
GGAUGUGAGGGUGACCCUGCUGUAACAUCUGUCACCCCAUUGAUGGCCAAGGUUGAUGUGGCUGCUCUGGCUGCCUAGGUGAGUGUCCCCUUUCUCCCCCAUGGUUCCAUGUGUGUUCCUCCCAAAGCUGCCCACUCAGUGGAAGAGGACAACCUUACCUGAUAGAGAAGGAUUGUUCUUCAAAGGUAUUCGGGUAACUCCCCUGCUAGAUCUCCAAACAAGCUCUAAAGUACCAGUUGUAGAAGACGAGGUGAAUCGAGCUUCUAAGAUUCUAGAUACACCCAAAUGAGGUGCUACGUGUGGCAGCCUGCCUUUCUCA